rnacentral:rRNA from 1 species
UACGGGGGGGCAAGCGGUUGUUCGGAAUUACUGGGCGUAAAGGGCGCGGUAGGCGCCUUCUAAGUCAGGACGUGAAAUCCCUCGGACUCAACCGAAGGAACUGCGUCUGAUACUGGAAGGCUUGAAUCCGGGAGAGGGAUGUGGAAUUCCCAGUGUAGCGGUGAAAUGCGUAGAUAUUGGGAGGAACACCAGUGGCGAAGGCGGCUCACUGGACCGGAACUGACGCUGAGGCGCGAAAGCGUGGGGAGCAAACGGG